CUACGGGGUGCUGCAGUGGGGAAUUUUGCGCAAUGGGGGAAACCCUGACGCAGCAAUACCGCGUGAGUGAAGAAGGCCUUUGGGUCGUAAAGCUCUUUUCUUGGGGAAGAUAGUGACGGUACCCAAGGAAUAAGCACCGGCUAACUCCGUGCCAGCAGCCGCGGUAAUACGGAGGGUGCAAGCGUUGUUCGGAUUUACUGGGCGUAAAGGGCACGUAGGCGGCACAGCAAGUUAAGGGUGAAAUCCCGGGGCUCAACUCCGGAACUGCUCUUAAAACUGCUGAGCUAGAGAUAGUCAGAGGCGGGUGGAAUUCCAGGUGUAGAGGUGAAAUCCGUAGAUAUCUGGAGGAACACCGGUGGCGGAGGCGGCCCGCUGGGGCUAUUCUGACGCUAAGGUGCGAAAGCGUGGGGAGCAAACGGGAUUAGAUACCCGUGUAGUC
rnacentral:rRNA from 1 species